GGCGGUCCGAGUGGCACAGCACCCACACCACCUCCGUACUCCACCACCCGCUUGUCAGGAAAUUCACCAACCACAUCAUGAAAACAGGAAACAAACCUCUGGCCAGGGAACUUGUCGAGAAGGUCAAAGGUCACAACUAGCCAGCCGGGAGUGGGUCAGGAUGGCACGGCUGGCUGUGGUGGUGGUGGUGGUGGUAUUGGUGUUGGCGGCAGCAGCGGCGGGAAGGCCAGACUACACGCUGUCCCAAAAUUUAUUGAAAUGUUGCAGA